rnacentral:misc_RNA from 1 species
GCCUAGUUGAGUUGAUGUUUGGAAUAAAGGCCUAGUUGAGUUGAUGUUUGGAUGGACCAGAAUUUGUGGUACUUCUAGUUCGAAGAGAGUUGAUAAGAGGGAAGGCCAAAUGGUAUUGGACUAAACUGUAUAUGAUCCAUGGAUUUGUUGCAGGUCCUGUUAAGGAUCCAAGGAAAAUGGGCCAAGAUCCAAAGCCUUUGAUGGUUUAUUAUAGAAGAAAUUAGAAGAAGAAAGAAAAGUCGAGAAUGAGACAGCUGGAAGGGAAUAUUUUGAAGGUUAUACAGUUAGAGGAAUUGUGGAAGGAUGGCCACAUGUU